GUCGAGCGGAUGAAGAGAGCUUGCUCUCUGAUUCAGCGGCGGACGGGUGAGUAAUGCCUAGGAAUCUGCCUGGUAGUGGGGGACAACGUCUCGAAAGGGACGCUAAUACCGCAUACGUCCUACGGGAGAAAGCAGGGGACCUUCGGGCCUUGCGCUAUCAGAUGAGCCUAGGUCGGAUUAGCUAGUUGGUGAGGUAAUGGCUCACCAAGGCGACGAUCCGUAACUGGUCUGAGAGGAUGAUCAGUCACACUGGAACUGAGACACGGUCCAGACUCCUACGGGAGGCAGCAGUGGGGAAUAUUGGACAAUGGGCGAAAGCCUGAUCCAGCCAUGCCGCGUGUGUGAAGAAGGUCUUCGGAUUGUAAAGCACUUUAAGUUGGGAGGAAGGGCAGUAAGCGAAUACCUUGCUGUUUUGACGUUACCGACAGAAUAAGCACCGGCUAACUCUGUGCCAGCAGCCGCGGUAAUACAGAGGGUGCAAGCGUUAAUCGGAAUUACUGGGCGUAAAGCGCGCGUAGGUGGUUUGUUAAGUUGAAUGUGAAAUCCCCGGGCUCAACCUGGGAACUGCAUCCAAAACUGGCAAGCUAGAGUAGGGCAGAGGGUGGUGGAAUUUCCUGUGUAGCGGUGAAAUGCGUAGAUAUAGGAAGGAACACCAGUGGCGAAGGCGACCACCUGG
rnacentral:rRNA from 1 species